AUUAAUUUGAAUUUGAACAUUAUUAAUAUGACGUACUGGAAUAAUAAGUUUAUUGGCAUAUUCCAAUUUACAGAUCUAAAUAUAUUCUGUACAUUAUUGAAAAUAAUAUAACAAGGAGAAAAAAAAUCUAUCAGAAAAAGAUUGAAACUUGUACUACUACAACAAAUAACAAUUACAUUCAAAUCUCCAUAACACCAAUUAAGUAAUAUAGAUAUCUACGAGCAUAACUAACUUUUGUAUUAAGCAACCAGCAAUAAAGAUAUUGACAACUAAUCAAGAUUUGUAUUUUAGAUUAUUAAAUGAUUAUCUAUUUGUAUUAAGAAAAAGUACAAAGAACAUUGUUUGACAUAUAACUCAAAUAUAUAAAGUUACUAGA